CUUGUUGGUGGGGUAACGGCUCACCAAGGCACCGAUCCGUAGCCGGCCUGAGAGGGUGGUCGGUCACACUGGGACUGAGACACGGCCCAGACUCCUACGGGAGGCAGCAGCUGGGGAUCUUGCGCAAUGGGCGAAAGCCUGACGCAGCGACGCCGCGUGGAGGAUGACGGCCUUCGGGUUGUAAACUCCUUUCAGUGGGGAAGAAUGCCUUUUCUGUGUAAAGCAGGAAAGGAGCGACGGUACCCACAGAAGAAGCUCCGGCUAACUACGUGCCAGCAGCCGCGGUAAUACGUAGGGUGCGAGCGUUAAUCGGAAUUACUGGGCGUAAAGCGUGCGCAGGCGGUUGUACAAGACAGGCGUGAAAUCCCCGGGCUUAACCUGGGAAUGGCGCCUGUGACUGUACGGCUAGAGUGUGUCAGAGGGGGGUAGAAUUCCACGUGUAGCAGUGAAAUGCGUAGAUAUGUGAAGGAAUACCAGUGGCGAAGGCAGCCCCCUGGGAUAACACUGACGCUCAUGUACGAAAGCGUGGGUAGCAAACAGGAUUAGAUACCCUGGUAGUCCACGCCCUAAACGAUGUCAACUGGUUGUUGGGGGGAGUGA
rnacentral:rRNA from 1 species